ACUCAGGACUCGCAGGUAAGGAGCCGCCACUGCCCUCUCGGUCCUCUCUUCUCUCUUUAUAAGCAGAAGGCACAGGACAGAUCUCUGCUGGAAGUGACCGGGGAAAGAAUGAGUUCAAGUGCUACGUCAGCAGAGGACCCAGCCAUGGAGACUCUGGAGCAUGGAGCUUUCAGCAUCAACGGUGUACAGGAGAAUGACCUAUGAUUUGACAGACCGUGCAGCUGUGUAUGUCUGUCAUUCUGUAGGCCAAUAUUCUGUAUGUCACUGCUACUUAAAAUCCAGACAGCAGACAUCGGCUAACACUCUCUGAGCGCUGUGCAGCAGAUCACAGGAGAGUCUGUAGUAUAACAGGAGAAUGUGCUGACAAAAUAAAAUGAGACCAUGCUGGACAGAUGUGUGUUUCUGUGUGUCUG
rnacentral:lncRNA from 1 species